rnacentral:rRNA from 1 species
UACGUAGGGUGCGAGCGUUAAUCGGAAUUACUGGGCGUAAAGCGUGCGCAGGCGGUGAUGUAAGACCGAUGUGAAAUCCCCGGGCUUAACCUGGAACUGCAUUGGUGACUGCAUCGCUCGAGUAUGGCAGAGGGGUAGAAUUCCACGUGUAGCAGUGAAUGCGUAGAGAUGUGGAGGAAUACCGAUGGCGAAGGCAGCCCUGGUCAAUACUGACGCUCAUGCACGAAGCGUGGGAGCAACAGG